AAUAGAGAAAUAUGUCAUACUGUUCAUUGGUAAAGGUAAGUCUACCAAAUCUAUUAAUUUUGCUGUAUCACUAAAUUGAGUCAAAUCUGUAUAAAAUGUAUGAAAACAUUAUAUAUAUGUGUGUGUGUGUGUGUGUGUGUGUGUGUGUGUGUGUAACUUUUGCUGAAUUACUGCCUUUAACAUGUCAUAGAUCAUUUAUAUUUCCUGGAAAAUUCUAAUUUUUCAUCAUACUUUUGAACAGCCCCUAGUUGCCCUUAAGCCUAACUCCUUAACUGACCCCUUUUCCUUAACGCUUAUCCUACAGGAAUAUGUGGGCAAUCUGAUUUUUCUAAAAUGCUCUGUGGGGGUGCUGACUUCAUUAAAAGUUAUACAUAUACACGUCUGCACAUCCCACAGACCAAGACUACUUUUGGGAGUGAGCAAUCACAGUAAUAAUGCAUAGCAGGGUUGAAGAAGUUUCUAGGAAUCAGACCAUGGAUAUGUGAAUACAGACAGUGACUGGUGAGCUGCAGAGACCAGCUGCAUUCUGAAGUCUCUGAGCCAUGGAAAAGUGUGUGUCCUGGGACCAGCAUUGAAUGCUGUGGGGCUGCCCUGUGGUUCCUAUACAGCUGCUCGGUAAGGACCAUUCACUCAAAGAAAUCCAGGCCUUGGGCUGUGCCCUGUGCUCACUAAUGGGGACUCAGCAGCUGUGUCCCCUCUGGUCUGGCAGAGUUUCCUGAGCAGAGACCUAUGUAUGGUCUCAACAGGUGCUUCCUCCCAGGGCCUUGCAAAAAAGAGCAAACCUUCCUCCUGCUCAGUCUACAGAGUAAGUUGUGCAGCAUCCCCAGGGCUCAGGGCAGGGCUGGACAGUCCCUGGGUAGAAACACAUUUGCAUGAGCAGCCCCUCCUACACAGGGUGAGAAGAAAAGGAGGCCUAAGGCAGCCCAGUCCUACUGCUGGGGUGAGAGGCUGUUUCCACCAUGGCCUGGACUCCUCUCCUCCUCCUUCUCCUCUCUCACUGCACAGGUUCCCUCUCCCAGCCUGUGCUGACUCAGCCAGCAUCACUCUCAGCGACUCCUGGAGCAUCAGCCAGACUCACCUGCACCUUGAGAAGUGACAUCAAUGUUGGGAGCUACACCAUAUACUGGUAUCAGCAGAAGCCAGGAAGUCCGCCUUGGUAUCUCCUGUACUACUACUCAGACUCAAAUAAGCACCAGGGCUCUGGAGUCCCCAGCCGCUUCUCUGGAUCCAAAGAUGCCUCUGCCAAUGCAGGGCUUUUACUCAUCUCUGGGCUCCAGUCUGAAGAUGAGGCUGACUAUUACUGUAUGAUCUGGCACAGCAGUGCUUCUCACAGUGACACACACAGAUGGGGAAGUGGGACAAAAACCUCAGCCUGGACUCACCCUUGUUCUGUGACAAUUUUUAAAUUGAGAAAAUAAUGUCUAUUUACAAACUAUAUUUGGAAGUACUUUCUUGUGCUAACAGGCUUUCUCUCCAUUUCCCAUUCAUUGUUUCUCAAGUCUCAGUAUAACAAAAACAAACAAAACCACCUGAAGACACUAAAAUGUUGGCUGAUUGUCCAUAUAUGCUGAAACCACUGCCUGUGGAGCUGGGCCUUUUUCUUUCGAAAGAAGCAAAAUGAGCCUUUUCUAGCUCACAUUACAGUCAGAGCCUGGGAACAUUCUAGCAGGUAAACAGUACCCUGCAGCAUGGAUUCUGCUGUUCCAGGGUUUAAACCACAGACCUCCCCUUCCAUUUCCAGUAGUCUGUGCUCAGAGCUAUCUAAGGCUCUGCCUGUAUCCCAGGAACAAAGCACUAAAAUGUAAAAUGC